GACGAACGCUGGCGGCGUGCUUAACACAUGCAAGUCGAACGGAGUGGCGAACGGGUGAGUAACACGUGGGUGACCUGCCCUGCACUUCGGGAUAAGCCUGGGCAACUGGGGCUAAUACCGGAUAGGGUGGAGUGGGCCCGCGGCCUAUCAGCUUGUUGGUGGGGGAAUGGCCUACCGAGGCGGCGACGGGUAGCCGGGCUGCGAGGGUGGACGGCCACCUGUGGACUGAGACACGGCCCAGACUGCUACGGGAGGCAGCAGUGGGGAAUAUUGCACAAUGGGCGGAAGCCUGAUGCAGCGACGCCGCGGGGGGGAUGACGGCCUUCGGGUUGUAAACUCCUUUCACCAUCGACGCGGUAGAUGGAGAAGAAGCACCGGCUAACUACGUGUCAGCAGCCGCGGUAAUUC
rnacentral:rRNA from 1 species